rnacentral:rRNA from 1 species
UCCAGAGAACUUAGCAGAGAUGCUUUGGUGCCUUCGGGAACUCUGAGACAGGUGCUGCAUGGCUGUCGUCAGCUCGUGUUGUGAAAUGUUGGGUUAAGUCCCGCAACGAGCGCAACCCUUAUCCUUUGUUGCCAGCGGCUCGGCCGGGAACUCAAAGGAGACUGCCGGUGAUAAACCGGAGGAAGGUGGGGAUGACGUCAAGUCAUCAUGGCCCUUACGGCCAGGGCUACACACGUGCUACAAUGGCGCAUACAAAGAGAAGCGACCUCGCGAGAGCAAGCGGACCUCAUAAAGUGCGUCGUAGUCCGGAUUGGAGUCUGCAACUCGACUCCAUGAAGUCGGAAUCGCUAGUAAUCGUAGAUCAGAAUGCUACGGUGAAUACGUUCCCGGGCCUUGUACACACCGCCCGUCACACCAUGGGAGUGGGUUGCAAAAGAAGUAGGUAGCUUAACCUUCGGGAGGGCGCUUACCACUUUGUGAUUCAUGACUGGGGUGAAGUCGUAACAAGGUAGGCGUAGCGAG